GAAUGUGAGGGGGAUCUAGCAGCAAUAUCUGUCACUGCAUCGAAUACCAGAUUUGAUUCAACUGCCCUGGCUGGCUGGGUAUUGUGCCCUUCCUCACUCACCACUCCUUAUGUGUCCCUCCCAAAGCUGUGUGCUGAAUCCAAGAGGACAGCCUUCCACCUUUCUAAGUAGAGGACAACCAUUCUUUCAAACAAAGGUGUACAAGUAGCUGCUGUGCUUCCUGGCUAGAUCUUCCAAACAAGCUGUCAAGAUCCUAAGCUCAGCAGAGAGCCCCAGCUAUGAUCAGCAAACCUCGGCU
rnacentral:snRNA from 1 species